CAGCAGCCGCGGUAAUUCGUAGGUGGCAAGCGUUGUCCGGAUUUAUUGGGUUUAAAGGGUGCGUAGGCGGCCUAUUAAGUCAGUGCUGAAAUAUCCCGGCUUAACCGGGAGGGUGGCAUUGAUACUGAUGGGCUUGAGUGUAGUCGAGGUAGGCGGAAUUGACGGUGUAGCGGUGAAAUGCUUAGAUAUCGUCAAGAACACCGAUAGUGUAGACAGCUUACUAGGCUAUAACUGACGCUGAGGCACGAAAGUGUGGGGAUCAAACAUGAUUAGAUACCCUGGUAGUCCACACUGUAAACGUUGAUUACUCGCUGUUGGCGAUAUACAGUCAGCGGCUUAGCGAAAGCGAUAAGUAAUCCACCUGGGGAGUACGCCAGCAACGGUGAAACUUAAAGGAAUUGACGG
rnacentral:rRNA from 1 species